CAAGGAGCUUUACAGAUGUCAACUCUGGUCCAGGAGUUUUUCACUGGGGGUCCGUGGGGGCGUCCAUGAAUGGAUUUCAGAGAACCUGCAAAUCCUAAAGUGCUCAUCAGCUUGUGUGCUUGUCUCAGUGAUGGUGCGUUGUUCUGAAGAGAAGACGUGCCGCUUUUCUCAGAUACUCAUCCCCGGCCCCAGAGCCUGCAGAUGAUGACUGACUUCGUUCAGCAGAAACCUCAAAAAGCAGCUCUGGCCAUGUUGCAGAAGGAUGCACACUCUCUUGAACAAGCUGAAGGCAGCCAGUCAGUGCAGCCAUCCCUUCAGCUUGUGGACUGCAAUGUGCAAAGGAUGGAAAGGAUGCUGUGGACUCAAACUGCUGAGGAGCCUGCAGGCUCACCACGAGAAUGGAGGGAAGCCUGGGAACAAAGUCCCCUUGCUGGAAGCAUGGCUAUCAGGUCACCUGACUCAGUGAUGGGAGGCAAGGACUUGGGGUCCAGUGCUCGAGCUGCCUCUCCUGUCUUCACCGAGGAGGCAGGACAGAUCCAGUUUGGGCAGGAUGUAUAAGAUUUGGACACAUGGAAAAGAUGGAGGUGGCAAGAAAAAAAGGCAGGUUGAGAUGUUGAGAACAUCCACUCAACACCAUCUCUGGGGGAGUGUCAUCUUAAAGGCUGUCUCAAAGAAGGGCCAAAGGAUUCCAUUCCGAGUCAUCCAGCAGAGACGAGCGGGCUGGCAGCCUACAGGGAGCGGCCGGAG
rnacentral:lncRNA from 1 species